AGCGAACGCUGGCGGCAGGCCUAACACAUGCAAGUCGAACGGAUACUUCGGGAUUAGUGGCGGACGGGUGAGUAACACGUGGGAACGUGCACUUUGGUUCGGAACAACUCAGGGAAACUUGAGCUAAUACCGGAUGUGCCCUUCGGGGGAAAGAUUUAUCGCCAUUGGAGCGGCCCGCGUCUGAUUAGCUAGUUGGUGAGGUAACGGCCCACCAAGGCGACGAUCAGUAGCUGGUCUGAGAGGAUGAUCAGCCACACUGGGACUGGGACACGGCCCAGACUCCUACGGGAGGCAGCAGUGGGGAAUCUUGCGCAAUGGGCGAAAGCCUGACGCAGCCAUGCCGCGUGAAUGAUGUAGGUCUUAGGAUUGUAAAAUUCUUUCAGCGGGGACGAUAAUGACGGUACCCACAGAAGAAGCUCCGGCUAACUUCGUG
rnacentral:rRNA from 1 species